GUGGGGAAUAUUGGACAAUGGGCGCAAGCCUGAUCCAGCCAUGCCGCGUGAGUGAUGAAGGCCUUAGGGUUGUAAAGCUCUUUCACCGAUGAAGAUAAUGACGGUAGUCGGAGAAGAAGCCCCGGCUAACUUCGUGCCAGCAGCCGCGGUAAUACGAAGGGGGCUAGCGUUGUUCGGAUUUACUGGGCGUAAAGCGCACGUAGGCGGUUUGUUAAGUCAGGGGUGAAAUCCCGGAGCUCAACGCCGUAACUGCCUUUGAUACUGGCAAGCUAGAGUCCGGAAGAGGUAAGUGGAACUCCUAGUGUAGAGGUGGAAUUCGUAGAUAUUAGGAAGAACACCAGUGGCGAAGGCGGCUUACUGGUCCGGAACUGACGCUGAGGUGCGAAAGCGUGGGGAGCAAACAGGAUUAGAUACCCGAGUAGUCC
rnacentral:rRNA from 1 species